rnacentral:lncRNA from 1 species
ACACUAAAACCGCUCCCUCCCUCUCCGCCAGAAGCUCCGCCGCCGCGGAAGCUCGCCGGAGCAACGGCGAUAGGCCGUCUGAUACUCUCGGCUCUCCCCUCUCUCAUCUCCCUCAUCGCACCAACACCCACAGACGCCAUCCCUCAAACUCUCUCUAUUCUCCGGCGAUGCAACAACAACAAGUCACUGCCUUCUUCCCGGUGACAACAGUCGUGAGCCCCACCGC